UGACUUGUGCACUUCUUGAUGGUUUUCUGGCACUGCUUUUUGAGAGAGAGAGACGUCAUUGUGUGCACACUGAGACGACAUCGUGGACUCCAGCUAUUAAAGAUUUAUUUAACUUGAGAACAUGUUUUGGUUUUGCAGAUGAUUACAGAUGGCAAGGUGGCUGAAUCCUGGCGCAGGAGAUUGUGCAGCGUGAUCCCGAUGAGCUACCUGAUAGACAUGGCAAAACAAAAAUAUCCUUGAUUUCUGCUUGCAUGUUUUGCAGGACUUUUGAGCAAGUAGUGCCUGAAAUAAGAGUCCAUUUCACAGCACUGUGCGCCAGGCAAGGAUCCACUGUGCUGGACAGAACUGAGUCGUGGUCUUACUGCUCAUCUUUCCUCUGAGAAGCCCUGGUGGAAACAAUCACAUUCCCCAGAAGAAGAUAGCAGCUUGGCUGUUGCUGCUCUUCUGUGUUUGUAUCAGAGGUGUGAAAUUGAAUGCCUGUGAGUUCUGCUCCAUGAGGAUCAAAGUCCUUUUAUCCAGAUGAGUGCACCAGGUUAUAUGACAGACCUUUAAGCUGAGGACCAGCCAGCUUGUAACUGGAGUGUGGCAGAGACUGGUACAUCUCAACUCCAACUAAUUCCAGUAUAAAGAUAGAUUUAAGACAAGUGCCAUCCAGCAAAUGGACAGCAAUGUGAAUUCCUUUGUAAAACAGUGGAUACAGUGAGUAUUACACUGAACAGGGGUUCUGCAUCUCUCUGUUAGUGUAGACAGGACUCAAACCUGACACACACCUGCAGCAGCACAUUAUGGUGUGAAGGUCAAGUAAAUGCAUUAGAGAUAGUGUUGAGACAUCUUUGUCAACUCAUCAUCGACAUUAAGUACAGACAAAAGCAAACUGCAGUUUUCAGUCUAAUUGGCUGGAUAUUGCAUUAAUUGUUCUAUUUAGUGAGCUAUUAGCAAUGAGCACUGGGAGUAAUGCUAAUAUAUUUAUUUGAGACAUCUACCACAAGAAACAAAUCUUCUAUUUAGUACACAAAUAGGUUGCACCUUAUCUCUCCUUUCACAAGGGACUUGUUUAACCAAGACUCUGGCUGAUAUUAGCAGUCUCUUAAAUUGAAAAAUUGCAAUUCAUUCCUCCACAACUUUGAUACUAGUCUUAUCAGCAUAAGGAAGUGACAAAAACAUCUCUCUUCUCCAAGACAGAGUGACGAUUAGCUGAACAGCAAAAGAGACUUCAUUUUGUAGCUCAGAAAUGAAAAUAAUGGGUGAAAAG
rnacentral:lncRNA from 1 species